rnacentral:rRNA from 1 species
GAUGAACGCUGACAGAAUGCUUAACACAUGCAAGUCAACUGUGGCGGACGGGUGAGUAACGCGUAAAGAACUUGCCUCACAGAUAGGGACAACAUUUGGAAACGAAUGCUAAUACCUGAUACUGUGAGAGAGUUUUGCGUCCCAUUAGCUAGUUGGAGAGGUAACGGCUCACCAAGGCGAGGAUGGGUAGCCGGCCUGAGAGGGUGAUCGGCCACAAGGGGACUGAGAGGCGGCCCUUACUCCUACGGGGGGCAGGAGUGGGGAAUAUUGGACAAUGGACCAAAGUCUGAUGCAGCAAUGCUGUGUGCACGAUGAAGUUUUCGGAAUGUAAAGUGCUUUCAGUUGGGAAGCGGUACCGACAAAAGAAGGGACGGCUAAAUACGUGCCAGCAGCCGCGGUAAUUC